GCUGCGGCGCGGCUGGCCGCGGUGCAGGCGGGGGCAGGAGGGGUCGCGCAGGUCAGCGGCGGAGACACCGGAGAGUUCGCCGGCCCCUUCAGCGUCCGCUUCACUGCGGAGCGACUCGGGCCGGAGAGGGAGGCACCUGUCCUUGUCGUGGGACAGAGCACGGCGCCGAUACUUGCGCGCGAGGAGCAGCGCCCCGUCCAGGCGCAGGCCGUGGCGGUGGCGGGGCCUUCGCACUGGGACCACACGCAGCCCGCCGAGGAUCCAACCUGCAGCACGCCACCAGCGCUGCCCCUUCUUCAAAAAGACCGCCAUGACGAGAUAGAGCGCGACACGAAGGACGACGAGGGGAACGUGAGAAACGACGUGUUCUGCCUCGACAGCUCGUGCGAACUGUUGAUGCAGUCGGACGAAGAGGACGACGACAACGGCUGGGGGAGGGAGCUGGCCCGGGACAACGUGUCGCUCUGCGCGUCGCUAAUCGCCCUCAAGGGUGACUCUCGGCCGUCGGUGCGCGCCGAGGACAUGGCCGAGGAAGUGGCGGUGGAGUCGUCGUUACAGAAGGUGGAAGAGCCACCGGUAGCGCCAGUGGUAGAGCCGGGGCUGCAGCCGACGGAGCGAGUCCUGAGGCACUCGUCGGGCCCGAUGAGCCGCCACUGGUCCGCGAACACCGAGAGCGAACCCGAGCCGGAGGCCUCGAUGUCCGCCCCGCCGCCCCAGGAAGGCCUCUUCGGGGCGUGGGCGCCGCGUCCAUUCACGCGCUCCUCCGUGUCCGUCCAGACGUCGGAAGAGCCGCCGACCGGCUCGGAGCACGGCGAGGGGAAGGACCUGACCCCCCGGGAGCGCGCACUUGCACUGCUGCACGAGGUGGACUCGCGGCUCAACGCCAUAUUCUGUACGAGGCCGGACCCGAACGCGGAGGCCCUGCUGCUGCGGCAGGUGGGCCCGCAGCCCCGACAAGAAGUUCCUCCCUCUGAGGACGCUCGGCCUCCCGCCGCGCACCAGAAGCCCAGAACGACGAAGUUCGUGAGCCGCUUGACGACCAUAAGAACCAGACGGACGACUCCAACGCCGCCGGCCAGGCCUCCAGCCAGCACCACCAGGGUGGGCACCGUAGGGCAAACCAGCGACACCGUGGGGCAGGCUGGUCGCCCAGGAGGCGGUGCGGUCUCCAAGCCCCGCAAAGAGGCUGACGCGGACGCGAGGACUCUGGCCGUGCCGGUCGUCAGCCACGCUCAGGGCCGCGCGCGCAGCUGGGAGCGGGCUCGCAGCCGGCCGAGGGGAAGGCCCGGGGGUGGCGGCGGCGGUGGUGGCGGGGUCGGAACCGGCGGGGAGAGGUCCAUCGAGCGGUCCAGGAGCCCCUCCACCGACAGAUCCGAUGACUUCCUGAGGAGCACACGUCACAAGGGACACCACAGUGACGCCUGUCACAGGGGGUAGGUCGACACGCCCACACGGCCACGCGCCGGUACUUUCCCGGACGCGGACUGGACUGGACCUUCUCUUCCUGUCGGCACGCGCGAAGGGAUAGGCUGCGGCCGGGCGAGGGGCGCCAGGUGGCGGGCGGCAGGCGCAAUCUCGCGCCGCCCCCACACCACCCGCCGCGCGCGCCCCGUGCCGCCGGCCUCCGCGAGGGAAGGACGGGCGCCCGCCUGCGCCUCAGCCGCUCCAGCAGCGGCGCCCGCCAGGCGAGCCAGGCGCUCGGCGGGGUGCUCGGCCUGGCGCGGCAGCCCUUCGAGCGCGGCCAGACCACCAGCCUGCAGAACACGAUCCGCGCCACGCAGAUGGAGACGCUUUUCGACCCCGCCGACGUGGCCGCCCUGCGCCCGCACGUGGAGCGCAUCCCCAUGAGCCCGCACUGCGCCGCGGCCAUCAACUCGGUCAAGGCGGCGCAGCCCCGCGAGCCCACGCCGCUGUCCAACCUGGAGUACCUGCCGCCGCUCCCGGACAGGAGGCCCUCCUCCACCGCGAGCCUGACGGAGGCCAUCGCCAGGAUCCUACAGAUCGACCCCAGCUCCGUGGCCACUUCACCCGGGCGAACGGUUGUCACCCAGAGCCGACCCGCUCCCGCUGGAUCCAGUCAACUCCACGAGCAGGCCCAGCCCACCCCGUCAGGCGCGGGACCUGCCCAGGUGGACGAUGCACCGGCCCUCAGCUCACUCUACCGGCCGACGGUGUCCUCGGGAGGCGCGGCGUCGACAGCGGCGCGCUCUGCUUGGAGAAGCGUUCCACAAGUUCGGACUCCAAGGCCGACCUUGAUGCAGAGGGAGUCCGGGUCCACCGCAGGCGGCACCGGGGCCUCCGGGGCUGUGGGUCUGCGCGCCGCACACGCCCGGCGGGGUGCGGACAGCAAGGUGAGUGCGGGCGGCGGGCGUGCAGUCGCCGCGAGGACAGUCGGCGGCACGCUGAGGCCGGACCUGACCACAAGGUGCAGAGGGUCAAUCCUCCUGCGGGGUCGGUGAACAAGAGCGGGGCCCACGUAGGGCGUAAGGCUCUCUGGAAGGGGCGCGCAGGCCGGGCCCACUACGGGGCCCACCACCAGGGCGCCGAGGUCAGGAGAGAAAGAGAUCAGCUCGACAGUCGCACGUUCAAGAUUACGAGUACGAUGCAGACCGUGCGACCCACAGUAAAGACAGCCACCCAAAUCGCACAGCUGACUGCCAGGCUUCGUCUACGCCAUGGCUGUAAGCCCAGAACUAUCCAAAACCCCGUCAGUAACGAUUGCACGCAGUGGUCGUUGCCCCACAUAGACCGCUCCCCAGCCUACGGACAUCCACAACCCGAGCCGAGCUGCAGGGACAGGGAAGUGCCCGUCAGUGCUCUGGCACCACCAGCCUCCGUGCCAACUCUCAGCCUCGAACGGCAGCAGGACCGAAGGGAAAGGAAAUAAGCAAACAGGUUUGAUUUUUAAAAUUGUUAUUAUAAUAUAAAUAGUGCACAAACAGUGAUAAAAGUAUAUGUUUGAGCGUAUAAGUUGGGUACAUGACAGGAAAGAUGGGAGAAAAAAAGAGGGACCAAAAUGAAGAUAGAAUGGUCCACUUCUAUAUACAGCGCAUGUUUCAGGGACACUGCAAAAUGAAGAAUGUUCAAACAUACGAAACAUUGGAAGAAUAAAAGUUGAUGUAUCCCCAACCACCUCAAA